GGGCCAGUGGCGGAAUGGUAUACGCGCAACACUUAAAAUGUUGUCCGCUAUGCGGAUGAGGGUCCGACUCCCUCCUGGCCCA
rnacentral:tRNA from 3 species